rnacentral:pre_miRNA from 1 species
GAUAUCAACUGAAAAAGUCAUCAACAACACGGUUGAAUAACUCAUCAAGAUCUAAAACUUUUAUUUUGGUCAUUUCUUCAUACGACAAAGUGAUAGUAACAUUGUUCACAAAAUUGACAUAUCUCUUAUCUGGUUUUAUAAACUAUAACACAUAUAUGUAAAAUUUGUGAAUAAUAUUACUAACAUUUCGUCAGAUGAAGAAAUAAAAAAAAUAAAAGUUUUAGAUCUUGAUGAGUUAUUCAACUUUGUUGUUGAUGACUUUUUCAAUUGAAAUC